rnacentral:rRNA from 1 species
CUCUUGACAUCCAGAGAAUUUAGCAGAGAUGCUUUAGUGCCUUCGGGAACUCUGAGACAGGUGCUGCAUGGCUGUCGUCAGCUCGUGUUGUGAAAUGUUGGGUUAAGUCCCGCAACGAGCGCAACCCUUUAUCCUUUGUUGCCAGCACGUAAUGGUGGGAACUCAAAGGAGACUGCCGGUGAUAAACCGGAGGAAGGUGGGGAUGACGUCAAGUCAUCAUGGCCCUUACGAGUAGGGCUACACACGUGCUACAAUGGCGUAUACAAAGAGAAGCGACCUCGCGAGAGCAAGCGGACCUCAUAAAGUGCGUCGUAGUCCGGAUUGGAGUCUGCAACUCGACUCCAUGAAGUCGGAAUCGCUAGUAAUCGUAAAUCAGAAUGUUACGGUGAAUACGUUCCCGGGCCUUGUACACACCGCCCGUCACACCUUGGGAGUGGGUUGCAAAAGAAGUAGAUAGCUUAACCUUCGGGAGGGCGUUUACCACUUUGUGAUUCAUGACUGGGGUGAAGUCGUAACAAGGUAGGCGUAGUGCU